rnacentral:rRNA from 1 species
UACGUAGGGGCCUAGCGUUGUCCGGAUUUAUUGGGCGUAAAGCGCACGUAGGCGGCUUGGCAAGUCGGAUGUGAAAUCCCUCGGCUCAACCAAGGAAGUGCAUCCGAAACUGCUGAGCUUGAGUUCUUAAGAGGAUCGCGGAAUUCCCGGUGUAGAGGUGAAAUUCGUAGAUAUCGGGAGGAACACCAGUGGCGAAGGCGGCGAUCUGGGAAGAUACUGACGCUGAGAGGCGAAAGCGUGGGGAGCGAACAGG